rnacentral:rRNA from 1 species
GACGAACGCUUGCGGCGUGCUUAACACAUGCAAGUCGAACGGAAAGGCCCUGCUUUUGUGGGGUGCUCGAGUGGCGAACGGGUGAGUAACACGUGAGUAACCUGCCCUUGACUUUGGGAUAACUUCAGGAAACUGGGGCUAAUACCGGAUAGGAGCUCCUGCUGCAUGGUGGGGGUUGGAAAGUUUCGGCGGUUGGGGAUGGACUCGCAGCUUAUCAGCUUGUUGGUGGGGUAGUGGCUUACCAAGGCUUUGACGGGUAGCCGGCCUGAGAGGGUGACCGGCCACAUUGGGACUGAGAUACGGCCCAGACUCCUACGGGAGGCAGCAGUGGGGAAUAUUGCACAAUGGGCGGAAGCCUGAUGCAGCAACGCCGCGUGCGGGAUGACGGCCUUCGGGUUGUAAACCGCUUUCGCCUGUGACGAAGCGUGAGUGACGGUAAUGGGUAAAGAAGCACCGGCUAACUACGUGCCAGCAGCCGCGGUGAUACGUAGGGUGCGAGCGUUGUCCGGAUUUAUUGGGCGUAAAGGGCUCGUAGGUGGUUGAUCGCGUCGGAAGUGUAAUCUUGGGGCUUAACCCUGAGCGUGCUUUCGAUACGGGUUGACUUGAGGAAGGUAGGGGAGAAUGGAAUUCCUGGUGGAGCGGUGGAAUGCGCAGAUAUCAGGAGGAACACCAGUGGCGAAGGCGGUUCUCUGGGCCUUUCCUGACGCUGAGGAGCGAAAGCGUGGGGAGCGAACAGGCUUAGAUACCCUGGUAGUCCACGCUGUAAACGGUGGGUACUAGGUGUGGGGUCCAUUCCACGGGUUCCGUGCCGUAGCUAACGCUUUAAGUACCCCGCCUGGGGAGUACGGCCGCAAGGCUAAAACUCAAAGGAAUUGACGGGGCCCCGCACAAGCGGCGGAGCAUGCGGAUUAAUUCGAUGCAACGCGUAGAACCUUACCUGGGUUUGACAUGGAUCGGGAGUGCUCAGAGAUGGGUGUGCCUCUUUUGGGGUCGGUUCACAGGUGGUGCAUGGCUGUCGUCAGCUCGUGUCGUGAGAUGUUGGGUUAAGUCCCGCAACGAGCGCAACCCUUGUUCUCUGUUGCCAGCACGUUAUGGUGGGGACUCAGUGGAGACCGCCGGGGUCAACUCGGAGGAAGGUGGGGAUGACGUCAAGUCAUCAUGCCCCUUAUGUCCAGGGCUUCACGCAUGCUACAAUGGCUGGUACAGAGAGUGGCGAGCCUGUGAGGGUGAGCGAAUCUCGGAAAGCCGGUCUCAGUUCGGAUUGGGGUCUGCAACUCGACCUCAUGAAGUCGGAGUCGCUAGUAAUCGCAGAUCAGCAACGCUGCGGUGAAUACGUUCCCGGG